AGUUCAAGAAGAGGAUUUUACCUGAGUUUGGAGUGUUUGGACCAAGAGCGAUUCUGUGUUUUGCAUCUCGAGAAGAACCUGUGGAUCUUAUAUAACAUUGGUCCACAGAUCUGUUUUCUGCAAUUACAUUU